rnacentral:rRNA from 1 species
GGAUUAGAUACCCUGGUAGUCCACGCCGUAAACGAUGUGUGCUAGCUGUCGGGACUUAGGUUUCGGUGGCGGAGAGAAAUUUUUAAGCACACCGCCUGGGGAGUACGGCCGCAAGGUUAAAACUCAAAGGAAUUGACGGGGACCCGCACAAGCGGUGGAGCAUGUUCAUUAAUUCGAAGCAACGCGAAGAACCUUACCUACACUUGACAUCCUUCUUGGGACUUUCAGAGAUGAUUGUCUUCGGUUCGGCCGGGGAAGUGACAGGUGCUGCAUGGCUGUCGUCAGCUCGUGCCG